AUCGCUUCUUGGCCUUUUGGCUAAGAUCAAGUGUAGUAUCUGUUCUUAUCAGUAUAAAGAGAACAGAUUUCAAGUAUUUUAUAGAUGCAGUUCUAAGAAGAUAAUCAUAUUUCCGUCCCUUC
ensembl:snRNA U2 U2 spliceosomal RNA